UAUAAGCACUUUAUACUGUGAAACUGCGAAUGGCUCAUUAAAUCAGUUAUCGUUUAUUUGAUAGUACCUUACUACAUGGAUACCUGUGGUAAUUCUAGAGCUAAUACAUGCUAAAAACCUCGACUUCGGAAGGGGUGUAUUUAUUAGAUAAAAAACCAACGCCCUUCGGGGCUCCUUGGUGAAUCAUAAUAACUAAGCGAAUCGCAUGGCCUUGCGCCGGCGAUGGUUCAUUCAAAUUUCUGCCCUAUCAACUUUCGAUGGUAGGAUAGUGGCCUACCAUGGUGGCAACGGGUAACGGGGAAUUAGGGUUCGAUUCCGGAGAGGGAGCCUGAGAAACGGCUACCACAUCCAAGGAAGGCAGCAGGCGCGCAAAUUACCCAAUCCCGACACGGGGAGGUAGUGACAAUAAAUACUGAUACGGGGCUCUUUUGGGUCUCGUAAUUGGAAUGAGUACAAUCUAAAUCCCUUAACGAGGAACAAUUGGAGGGCAAGUCUGGGCACGG
rnacentral:rRNA from 1 species